GUCUGAAAAUCACCACCUUAAACAUGGCCAAUCUCAUCUGGUUUUGGAAACUAAGCAGGAUUGGACCGGAUCAGUAUUAGUAUGGGAGCCCAUUGGGGAAUAACAUGGAUCUCAGGCU
rnacentral:rRNA from 1 species